rfam:Ciona savignyi cont_31192, whole genome shotgun sequence.
GUCGUCGUGGCCGAGUGGUUAAGGCGAAAGACUUGAAAUCUCUUGGGCUCUGCCCGCACAGGUUCGAAUCCUGUCGGCGACG